GACGAACGCUGGCGGCGUGCUUAACCCAUGCAAGUCGAACGGAAAGGCCCUGCUUUUGUGGGGUGCUCGGGUGGCGAACGGGUGAGUAACAGGUGAGUAACCUGCCCUGGACUUUGGGUUAACUUAAGGAAACUGGGGCUAUAACCGGUUAGGAGCUCCUGCUGCUUGGUGGGGGUUGGAAAGUUUCGGCGGUUGGGGUUGGACUCGCGGCUUAUCAGCUUGUUGGUGGGGUAGUGGCUUACCAAGGCUUUGACGGGUAGCCGGCCUGAGAGGGUGACCGGCCACAUUGGGACUGAGAUACGGCCCAGACUCCUACGGGAGGCAGCAGUGGGGAAUAUUGCACAAUGGGCGGAAGCCUGAUGCAGCAACGCCGCGUGCGGGAUGACGGCCUUCGGGUUGUAAACCGCUUUCGCCUGUGACGAAGCGUGAGUGACGGUAAUGGGUAAAGAAGCACCGGCUAACUACGUG
rnacentral:rRNA from 1 species